CUAAGCAUAUCAAUAAGCGGAGGAAAAGAAACCAACAGGGAUUGCCCUAGUAACGGCGAGUGAAGCGGCAACAGCUCAAAUUUGAAAUCUGGCUCUUUUAGGGUCCGAGUUGUAAUUUGCAGAGGGCGCUUUGGCGUUGGCAGCGGUCCAAGUUCUUUGGAACAGGACGUCACAGAGGGUGAGAAUCCCGUACGUGGUCGCUAGCCUUCGCCGUGUAAAGCCCCUUCGACGAGUCGAGUUGUUUGGGAAUGCAGCUCUAAAUGGGAGGUAAAUUUCUUCUAAAGCUAAAUACUGGCCAGAGACCGAUAGCGCACAAGUAGAGUGAUCGAAAGAUGAAAAGCACUUUGGAAAGAGAGUCAAAUAGCACGUGAAAUUGUUGAAAGGGAAGCGCUUGCAGCCAGACUUGCCUGUAGUUGCUUAUCCGGACUUUUGUCCGGUGCACUCUUCUGCGGGCAGGCCAGCAUCAGUCUAGGCGGUUGGAUAAAGGUCUCUGUCAUGUACCUCUCUUCGGGGAGGCCUUAUAGGGGAGACGACAUGCAACCAGCCUGGACUGAGGUCCGCGCAUCUGCUAGGAUGCUGGCGUAAUGGCUGUAAGCGGCCCGUCUUGAAACACGGACCAAGGAGUCUAACAUCUAUGCGAGUGUUUGGGUGUCAAGCCCAGACGCGUAAUGAAAGUGAACGGAGGUGGGAACCCUUUGGGUGCACCAUCGACCGAUCCUGAUGUCUUCGGAUGGAUUUGAGUAAGAGCAUGGCUGUUGGGACCCGAAAGAUGGUGAACUAUGCUUGAAUAGGGUGAAGCCAGAGGAAACUCUGGUGGAGGCUCGCAGCGGUUCUGACGUGCAAAUCGAUCGUCAAAUUUGGGCAUAGGGGCGAAAGACUAAUCGAACUAUCUAGUAGCUGGUUCCUGGCGAAGUGUCCCUCAGACC
rnacentral:rRNA from 1 species